rnacentral:misc_RNA from 1 species
GGAAGUAAAAGUUGUAACAAGGUUUCCGUAGGUGAACCUGCGGAAGGAUCAUUCAUAAUAAGUGUUUUAUGGCACUUUUUUAAAUCCAUAUCCACCUUGUGUGCAAUGUCAGGGUUGGUCUCUUUUGAUCAGCCCCAAACAUCAACUAUUAUCUCAACUCUUUGUCUGAAAAAUAUUAUGAAUAAAACAAUUCAAAAUACAACUUUCAACAACGGAUCUCUUGGCUCUC